GCAGCAAAGCCAUAUGCGUGGCAGGAUUACAUCAAUUGACAUCCACGAAGAAGAACGGUUUGUUUUCAACAAUGGUUUUUACGAGGAAGAAACUGCAGGACGUCAUCAGAGGGCAAGGAUAUCAUCAACCAGAGGAUAGGGCAGCUCCUGGCUAUUAUCCUCAAGACUAAUGUGUCUGCAUGUAACUUUGUCCAGUCCUUUCUGGGAUAGGAGAUUUGGAGACAGGGCUGUUCUAAAAGCACGUUUAAAACCCACUACAGCCUGGGGUGACUAGUUCCAUGUUGCCAGAACUGCAGCAGACUACUGUUUGCAUCGGAGCCACAGCCAUUCCCCCAUGUCCAACUGCCACAGGCACAUCGGCAACAGGGGUGCGGAGAACAGAAUGGAAUCAGACAGAGGAAGGAGACGAGAAGUUUCCUCCACCACUGAACCAUCAAACACAGACCAGACUCCAACCCCUGGCCCUGAGACCUCCAGUCCACAACCCCCUCAGCCAGACACAGACCAGACUCCAACCCCUGAGACCUCCAGUCCACAACCCCCUCAGCCAGACACAGACCCCACCCCCGGGACCUCCUCUGACCAACCGAAGCCAUGAGUGUCUUUUAAACAACAUAAAAGCUUGCCUGUAUAAUGCAAAAAUUAGCUAUAUGAGGACUUUGCUGGUCCUUUGGAAAACACCAGCUGAAGAACCAAAGCCUCCAAAAGGAAAGACAAUAAAGAAACUUGCUCAAACAUCCCAAAAAAGAACAAACAAUGAACCAUCUCAGAAGCGCGAAACACAACAGGCAAAGAAAUCACACUGUAGUUGCAAGCCCAAGAAGAGGAGGAUAAACAAAGCUGCCAAAAUACAGACACAAACAAAGAAUUGGCUCAAAUACCAGCCACAAACAAAGAUUUUCCUCAAACGCCAGACACAAAAAAUAAGUAUCUCAAAUGCCCCAAAUAAGGGAAGUGGACAUGGAGGCUACUGAAACAUGGGACGCAGCGGACAUUCUGACCUACCAGAUUCUGUGACAUCCUAUGGAUUCUCUCUCGCUUACUUACACACACACACACACACACACACCAGUGCGCAGUACACAAAGACUCCUGUUUCAAUAUUUUUUUAUCAGAAAUUUUGCUGAAGAAAUGGUUCCUCUUGAUUUGUUGUUUUUCUUUUGUAAAGUUAUGUUGGUGAAGAAUGUUUCAUAAAACAAAGUUAGAUUUCAGAACCAAGAGUUGUCUACAUUUGUUUUCUAUUAAAAAAGUCUCUCAAACAGACAUUGUUCUCUACUGGUUAAGACCAUGGUCAGUUGUGGUACGUUGGUAUCAGUUUUAAAUGUAUUCAAACGUAUUUUCUUAGUUUGACUCCCUGGUAAAUGCAACGACUUGGGACUGUUCAAAGUGCCUGCACUAAUGCUGAACAUGCAGAAAACCUGAACAUUUUGAUUAUCAGGAGUUCACUUUACAUUAUUACAUCCUGAGCAUUGCCCUUGUCGUUUAAUGAA